AUAACUAGAGUUCUAUCAUCAGUUUAGUUCUACAAACUGUACAGAAUGAUUUUCAACAUUAUCAUAUGUUACUGUGAAUUUAUCAGGAUUAUGAGUACGAAAACUAUUUAUUCCACAAGAAGGAAACAUGCAUUUUGAUAAGCAAGAAAAAUACAUAUUGCACAAAACAAGUAUUUUUACAAGUCAGAUAUGAGCAUCAUGAAACUAACACAAUUUAUUUUGCAUUUUUAUCAUUUUUCUACAAUUUAUAUGGAUUUAAAAAGUUUCAGCGAUUUCUAUGCAUUUUAUUCACACUUAAAUUUUUCUCUUUUAUAGAACGACCCUUAGAACUUUUCAAGGUUUACAACUAUGCCCC
rnacentral:lncRNA from 1 species